CUCAAUCAACCAUUCCAGAAAACAUUCAUAUCAAAGCAUGAUCAUGAUCAGUUAUACAUUUGUAAUGUGAUUCCACAAACAAAUAGAAAGGAACCACUUUAGCUCACCAUUGUCACUAAUAGAUGAACGAAUAUAUCCAUAGCACGCUCACUAUUAGAUAAUUGAAUUCAGAUUUUCUCCUGAAGGAGUCUUUAUGCAUAUUGAUUUCUAAUACGCAACGAAAACAAACGAGACUAGAGAACUUAGCUUUAGGAUGAGUGGUACUGGACUGUCGGAGCUCUGCGACUCACAGCGACGGUGGCUCCGGAAGAGUCGACUGCCGGAUUCUUGCUGUUAACAGCAGCGACUGACGGUGGCGCUCCCAAGCGGCGACGUCCGGCGAUAGAACUCCAAGCCGCGACCCGGCGAAACAGCAGCUGUAGUUGGAGGCGUGGUUCGAGCCUUCGACUCCGGAAAUAGCAGCAACGACAGACCCCCCUGCUCGCCGGACUCGUGCGAAGCGGCGGCAUACCCAUCGCCCGCAUCCAGCAGCAACGGCUCGGUGCAAGACGGCGGUGGCGAUUCCAGGCCGGAGCAACGCUGGCUUGAGGCGACAACGUCGCCGAAGAUUCCAGUAGCAGCAGCGGCGUCGGGGCUCGGGGAAAUCGACGGAGGCGGCGGAAAUCUCGAAGGCAGCCGACGACGCAGCAAUAGGCAACUGUGAGCAGGCCUUUGUUCGCCGGAAAUCGCACAGCAGCAGCGGCUGACUCGCCGGAUUUCGGAGCGGCGACGGCGGCGCCUCGGCUGGAACGAGAGGAAGAAAUAUAGAGAGAAAGAGCUCGGCCGAUCUGAAAAUCCAGAGAGAGAGAGAGGGAACCGAGAAGUGAGGGGAGGAGGCAACGGUGAGGCGGCGCGCCGGAGGCGGCGCCGCUCUCAGCCGAUUGAAGAAGGCUGAGCGAGAAGAGGAAAGAGAGAGGGAGGCGUGAGUUUGAGGGUGAAGUCUCGACUGG
rnacentral:lncRNA from 1 species